GACGAACGCUGGCGGCGUGCUUAACACAUGCAAGUCGAACGGAAAGGCCCUGCUUUUGUGGGGUGCUCGAGUGGCGAACGGGUGAGUAACACGUGAGUAACCUGCCCUUGACUUUGGGAUAACUUCAGGAAACUGGGGCUAAUACCGGAUAGGAGCUCCUGCUGCAUGGUGGGGGUUGGAAAGUUUCGGCGGUUGGGGAUGUACUCGCGGCUUAUCAGCUUGUUGGUGGGGUAGUGGCUUACCAAGGCUUUGACGGGUAGCCGGCCUGAGAGGGUGACCGGCCACAUUGGGACUGAGAUACGGCCCAGACUCCUACGGGAGGCAGCAGUGGGGAAUAUUGCACAAUGGGCGGAAGCCUGAUGCAGCAACGCCGCGUGCGGGAUGACGGCCUUCGGGUUGUAAACCGCUUUCGCCUGUGACGAAGCGUGAGUGACGGUAAUGGGUAAAGAAGCACCGGCUAACUACGU
rnacentral:rRNA from 1 species